UCCUUAGGCAAGAUAGGCAUGGGUAUAGACUGUUCUUCAUUGUGCAGUCUUUUGCUCUGAAAUGCUUUGGUUCUAAAUAAACAACCCUUUGCUUUAAGAAGGCUAUCUGCUCACUGGCUAUCAGUGGUCCUAGCUCCAGGAGGGUAGAGAGCUGUUGAACCUAACAAGUCAGGCUUCCUGAGAAAUUUUUCCAUGUUUCCACUUCGGAUAGGACUCCUUUUCAAAGACUUGACCUAUUAAGGCCCAAUAAGACUGACAUAUGACCUCUGCUGGUAGCAAAGGGAGUCUACUCAAUUCCUGAUCUUUUAUAUUGGCUAACAGUGAUGCAAAGGAUCAGGAUUCUAUUAAGUUUCACUUCAGAACAAAUUGAAAAGAGGGAACAGCCAGUGAAGCAGAAGCAAAGUACAAGUGGGUGAAAGAGAAAACACAAAUGAGAAGUAGCAGCAAAUGACACAGAAUUGGAGAAGUGGACACAAAAUGUAGCACGAAGAGAAGGGUUAUGGCUAAUAGUUAUUACAUUAAAGGUGUACUCUUAAAA